rnacentral:rRNA from 1 species
AUUGAACGCUGGCGGCAGGCCUAACACAUGCAAGUCGAACGAGUGGCGGACGGGUGAGUAAUGGCUGGGAAACUGCCCGAGGGAGGGGGAUAACUACCGGAAACGGUAGCUAAUACCGCAUACCAUCGGAUGCGCCCAGAGUGGAUUAGCUAGUGGGUGGGGUAACGGCUCACCUAGGCGACGAUCCCGAGCUGGUUUGAGAGGAUGACCAGCCACACUGGAACUGAGACACGGUCCAGACUCCUACGGGAGGCAGCAGUUGGGAAUAUUGCACAAUGGGCGAAAGCCUGAUGCAGCCAUGCCGCGUGUAUGAAGAAGGCCUUCUGGUUGUAAAGUACUUUCAGCGAGGAGGCGUUACUCGCAGAAGAAGCACCGGCUAACUCCGUGCCAGCAGCCGCGGUAAUUC